GACAGAGGGUGCAAACGUUGUUCGGAAUUACUGGGCGUAAAGCGUGUGUAGGCGGUCCACUAAGUCGGGUGUGAAAGCCCUGGGCUCAACCCAGGAAGUGCACUCGAAACUGGCGGGCUAGAGUAUCGGAGAGGUUGGUGGAAUUCUCGGUGUAGAGGUGAAAUUCGUAGAUAUCGAGAGGAACACCGGUGGCGAAGGCGGCCAACUGGACGAAUACUGACGCUGAGACACGAAAGCGUGGGAGCA
rnacentral:rRNA from 1 species